UCCUGGCUAGCUCAGUUGGUAGAGCAUGAGGCCCUUAAUCUCAGGAUUGUGUGUUCAAGUCCCAUGUUAGAUG
rnacentral:tRNA from 1 species